GACGAACGCUGGCGGCGUGCUUAACACAUGCAAGUCGAACGGAAAGGCCCUGCUUUUGUGGGGUGCUCGAGUGGCGAACGGGUGAGUAACACGUGAGUAACCUGCCCUUGACUUUGGGAUAACUUCAGGAAACUGGGGCUAAUAUCGGAUAGGAUAUCCUGCUGCAUGGUGGGCGUUGGAAAGUUUCGGCGGUUGGGGAUGGACUAGCGGCUUAUCAGCUUGUUGGUGGGGUAGUUGCUGACCAAGGCUUUGACGGGUAGCCGGCCUGGGAGGGUGGCCGGCGACAUUGGGACUGAGAGAGGGACCAGACUCGUACGGGAGGCAAAAGUGGGGAGUAUUACACAGUGAGCGGGAGCCUGAUGCAGAGGCGCCGCGUGCGGAAUGACGGCCUUCGGGUUAUAAACAGCUUUCGCCUGUGACGAAGCGUGAGUGACGGUAAUGGGUAAAGAAGCACCGGCUAACUACGUG
rnacentral:rRNA from 1 species